GACGAACGCUGGCGGCGUGCCUAAUACAUGCAAGUUGAGCGAUGAAGAUUGGUGCUUGCACCAAUUUGAAGAGCAGCGAACGGGUGAGUAACGCGUGGGGAAUCUGCCUUUGAGCGGGGGACAACAUUUGGAAACGAACGCUAAUACCGCAUAAUAACUUUAAACAUAAGUUUUAAGUUUGAAAGAUGCAAUUGCAUCACUCAAAGAUGAUCCCGCGUUGUAUUAGUUAGUUGGUGAGGUAAAGGCUCACCAAGGCGAUGAUACAUAGCCGACCUGAGAGGGUGAUCGGCCACAUUGGGACUGAGACACGGCCCAAACUCCUACGGGAGGCAGCAGUAGGGAAUCUUCGGCAAUGGACGAAAGUCUGACCGAGCAACGCCGCGUGAGUGAAGAAGGUCUUCGGAUCGUAAAACUCUGUUGGUAGAGAAGAACGUUGGUGAGAGUGGAAAGCUCAUCAAGUGACGGUAACUACCCAGAAAGGGACGGCUAACUACGUG
rnacentral:rRNA from 1 species